GUAGUCCACGCCGUAAACGAUGUCUACUAGCCGUUGGGGAACUUGAUUCUUUAGUGGCGCAGCUAACGCACUAAGUAGACCGCCUGGGGAGUACGGCCGCAAGGUUAAAACUCAAAUGAAUUGACGGGGGCCCGCACAAGCGGUGGAGCAUGUGGUUUAAUUCGAUGCAACGCGAAGAACCUUACCUGGUCUUGACAUCCACAGAACUUUCCAGAGAUGGAUUGGUGCCUUCGGGAACUGUGAGACAGGUGCUGCAUGGCUGUCGUCAGCUCGUGUUGUGAAAUGUUGGGUUAAGUCCCGUAACGAGCGCAACCCUUGUCCUUAUUUGCCAGCACUUCGGGUGGGAACUCUAAGGAGACUGCCGGUGACAAACCGGAGGAAGGUGGGGACGACGUCAAGUCAUCAUGGCCCUUACGACCAGGGCUACACACGUGCUACAAUGGCAAGUACAGAGGGACGCGAAGCGGCGACGUGUAGCUAAUCCCAUAAAACUUGUCGUAGUCCGGAUUGGAGUCUGCAACUCGACUCCAUGAAGUCGGAAUCGCUAGUAAUCGUGAAUCAGAAUGUCACGGUGAAUACGUUCCCGGGCCUUGUACACACCGCCCGUCACACCAUGGGAGUUUGUUGCACCAGAAGUAGCUAGUCUAACCGCAAGGGGGACGGUUACCACGGUGUGGCCGAUGACUGGGGUG
rnacentral:rRNA from 1 species